AAAAAUAAAAAAUCAAAGUAAAAUAAAAAGGAAAAAAAGGAAAUUGAGAGGAAAAAAAGUAAAAAAGUAAGGAUUGAGAAAAAUGAAAAAUAAAAAGAGAAAAAAAUAAAAAUUAAAGUAAAAUUAAAAAGAGAAAAAAAUAAAAGUUGAAAGAUGAAUAAAUAUAGAGUUGUUAUUCAUUAUGAGGAUAUUUAUGUAAUUUACUCCAUUAGUCAGGGA
rnacentral:lncRNA from 1 species